rnacentral:rRNA from 1 species
GACGAACGCUGGCGGCGUGCUUAACACAUGCGAGUCGUACGGUAAGGCCCUUUCGGGGGUACACGAGUGGCGAACGGGUGAGUAACACGUGAGUAACCUGCCCACAACUUUGGGAUAACGCUAGGAAACUGGUGCUAAUACUGGAUAUGUGCUCCUGCUGCAUGGUGGGGGUUGGAAAGCUCCGGCGGUUGUGGAUGGACUCGCGGCCUAUCAGCUUGUUGGUGGGGUAGUGGCCUACCAAGGCGGCGACGGGUAGCCGGCCUGAGAGGGUGACCGGCCACAUUGGGACUGAGAUACGGCCCAGACUCCGACGGGAGGCAGCAGUGGGGAAUAUUGCACAAUGGGCGCAAGCCUGAUGCAGCAACGCCGCGUGCGGGAUGACGGCCUUCGGGUUGUAAACCGCUUUCAGCAGGGACGAAGCUUUUUGUGACGGUACCUGCAGAAGAAGCACCGGCUAACUACGUG